rnacentral:rRNA from 1 species
UAACCAUCGAGUCUUGAACGCCAGUUGCGCCCGAAGCCACUAGGCCGAGGGCACGCCUGCCUGGGUGUCACGCAUCGCGUCGCCCCCUCCCCGCGCCCAAACGCGCGGCGGUGGUGGAAAGUGGUCCCCCGUGCGCGGUGUCGCGCGGUCGGCCCAAAUGUGAUCCCCGGCGACGCACGUCACGACAAGUGGUGGUUGAACCCUCAACGCGCUUUGUCGUGCACCACCGUGUCGGGACGCAUGAUCAGACCCAAUGGCACGUGCGAGCACGUCGCCUUCGACCGCGACCCCAGGUCAGGCGGGAUCACCCGCUGAGUUUAAGCAUAUCAAUAAGCGGAGGAAAAGAA